rnacentral:rRNA from 1 species
GCCAUAUCACCCUGCAGCCCAAGACUGGUUGCCCACUGAAGCUAAGCAGGGCUGAGCCUGGUCAGUACCUGGAUGGGAGACCUCUUGGGAAAACUAGGUGUAAAGAGCU